rnacentral:rRNA from 1 species
GGACGUACUAGAUAGCAUGCAUGUCUAGUAUAAAGGUUACAUACAAUGAAACUGCGAAUGGCUCAUUCAAACAGUUAUAGUUUAUUUGAUAUUCAAACUUAUAUUUAUAUUAGUUUAAAUGGAUAACCGUAGUAAUUCUAGAGCUAAUACAUGCGUUACGGGGGACUUUAUGGAACCUCAGUAUUUAUUAGAUUUCCAAACCAAUAUUCCGCAAGGUCUACUGAGAUGAUUCAUGAUAACUGAUCGAAUUGCUGGGUCUACCGGCAAUAAAUCAUUCAUGUUUCUGCUUCCCAUCAGCUUGAUGGUAGUGUAUUGGACAACCAUGGCAUUCACGGGCUAUCGGGGGAUUAGGGUUCGAUUCCGGAGAGGGAGCCUGAGAAACGGCUACCACUUCUACGGAAGGCAGCAGGCGCGAAAAUUAUCCAAUCCUGAUUCAGGGAGGUAGUGAAAGAUAUAAUGAACUAGGAUUUAUCCUGGGAUCACAAUGGGCUUGAUUUGCAAACUUUAUUAACGAGGAUCAAUUGGAGGGCAAGUCUGGUCCCCCCGUGCCCCCGCCCCGCCCGGGGCGCGCCCCGGGCGAGGCGGGGGCACGGGGGGACCAGACUUGCGCUAUAAUUGAUCCUCGGUAAAAUAGUGUUCCAAACGACUAGUAGUGUCGUUAGGGGGAGUGUACUACCGGUUUAUCUAUUCCUGCUUACUCCAAAAAGUUUCGAGCAGCUUCCGCGCACAAGCCCAGGGGCUGCCUUCUGCAUCAUACGCCACCUGAUGCUGCGCAUUUCACAGGAAACAUGAAUUCCACCCCCCACGGCAGGGACCCAAGCCUGCCGGACACAGCCGAAGCCACGCGUUUACCCCGUGGAUUCCGAACUGUACUC